rnacentral:rRNA from 1 species
CAGGUGCUGCAUGGCUGUCGUCAGCUCGUGUCGUGAGAUGUUGGGUUAAGUCCCGCAACGAGCGCAACCCUUGUCAUUAGUUGCUACAUUCAGUUGGGCACUCUAAUGAGACUGCCGGUGACAAGCCGGAGGAAGGUGGGGAUGACGUCAAGUCCUCAUGGCCCUUAUAGGUGGGGCUACACACGUCAUACAAUGGCUGGUACAAAGGGUUGCCAACCCGCGAGGGGGAGCCAAUCCCAUAAAGCCAGUCGUAGUCCGGAUCGUAGUCUGCAACUCGACUACGUGAAGUCGGAAUCGCUAGUAAUCGUGGAUCAGAAUGUCACGGUGAAUACGUUCCCGGGUCUU